rnacentral:rRNA from 1 species
GACGAACGCUGGCGGCGUGCUUAACACAUGCAAGUCGAACGGAAAGGCCCUGCUUUUGUGGGGUGCUCGAUUGGCGAACGGGUGAGUAACACGCGAGUAACCUGCCCUUGUAUUUGGGAUAACUUCAGGAAAAUGGGGCUCAUACCGGAUAGGAGCUCCUGCUGCAUGGUGGGGGACGGUAAGUUUCGGCGGUUGGGGAUGGACUGGCGGCUUAUCAGCUUGUUGGUGGGGUAGUGGCUUACCAAGGCUUUGACGGGUAGCCGGCCUGAGAGGGUGACCGGCCACAUUGGGACUGAGAUACGGCGCAGACUGCUACGGUAGGCAGCAGUGGGGAAUAUUGCACAAUGGGCGGAAGCCUGAUGCAGCGACGCCGCGUGCGGGAUGACGGCCUUCGGGUUGUAAACCGCUUUCGCCUGUGACGAAGCGUGAGUGACGGUAAUGGGUAAAGAAGCACCGGCUAACUACGUG